rnacentral:piRNA from 1 species
CCUGAGACCUUAAUCUCGUUGAUGUCCU